GACGAACGCUGGCGGCGUGCUUAACACAUGCAAGUCGAACGGUGAAGGGGCCUGUUUUUGUGGGCCCUUGAUGAGUGGCGCACGGGUGAGUAACACGUGAGUAAUCUGCCCCCUUCUUCUGGAUAACCGCAUGAAAGUGUGGCUAAUACGGGAUGUUCUUGUUCUUUCGCGUGUUGGGUCUGUGAAAGAUUUCGCCUUUUGGUGUUUUUGGUGGGUGAUUGGUUCGCUGCCUAUCCGCUUGUUGGUGGCGUGAGCGCCUACGAAGGCGGUGACGGCGAGGUCGUCUGGGAGGGUGGAUGGGCAUAGGGGGAGUGAGACACGGUCCGGAUUCCUACGGGGGGUAGAAGUGGGGAAUAUAGUACAAUGGGUGGCAGCAUGAUGCAGAGACGCCGCGUGAGGCAGGGAGGCCUUCGGGUUGUCACCCUCUUUCGCAAGUGAAGCAGGCCGGCUCCUUGUGGGUGGGUGGACGGUAGCUGGAUAAGAAGCGCCGGCUAAAUACGUG
rnacentral:rRNA from 1 species